GCGGCGUGCCUAAUACAUGCAAGUCGAACGCACUGACGUCGACAGAAGGUGCUUGCACUGGAAGUUGAUUGACGUGAGUGGCGGACGGGUGAGUAACACGUGGGUAACCCGCCCUUAAGCGGGGGAUAACAUUUGGAAACAGAUGCUAAUACCGCAUAAAAGUUGAGAUCACAUGGUCUUAAUUUGAAAGACGGCCUUUGGCUGUCACUUAAGGAUGGACCCGCGGCGUAUUAGCUAGUUGGUGAGAUAAUAGCCCACCAAGGCGAUGAUACGUAGCCGACCUGAGAGGGUAAUCGGCCACAUUGGGACUGAGACACGGCCCAAACUCCUACGGGAGGCAGCAGUAGGGAAUCUUCCACAAUGGACGAAAGUCUGAUGGAGCAACGCCGCGUGAGUGAAGAAGGUUUUCGGAUCGUAAAACUCUGUUGUUGGAGAAGAACAGGGACUAGAGUAACUGUUAGUCCUUUGACGGUAUCCAACCAGAAAGCCACGGCUAACUACGUGCCAGCAGCCGCGGUAAUACGUAGGUGGCAAGCGUUGUCCGGAUUUAUUGGGCGUAAAGCGAGCGCAGGCGGUUUCUUAAGUCUGAUGUGAAGGCCUUCGGCUUAACCGAAGAAGUGCAUCAGAUACUGGGAAACUUGAGUGCAGAAGAGGAAAGUGGAACUCCAUGUGUAGCGGUGAAAUGCGUAGAUAUAUGGAAGAACACCAGUGGCGAAGGCGGCUUUCUGGUCUGUAACUGACGCUGAGGCUCGAAAGUAUGGGGAGCGAACAGGAUUAGAUACCCUGGUAGUCCAUACCGUAAACGAUGAAUGCUAAGUGUUGGAGGGUUUCCGCCCUUCAGUGCUGCAGCUAACGCAUUAAGCAUUCCGCCUGGGGAGUACGACCGCAAGGUUGAAACUCAAAGGAAUUGACGGGGGCCCGCACAAGCGGUGGAGCAUGUGGUUUAAUUCGAAGCUACGCGAAGAACCUUACCAGGUCUUGACAUCUAGCGCCAAUCCUAGAGAUAGGACGUUCCCUUCGGGGACGCUAAGACAGGUGGUGCAUGGUUGUCGUCAGCUCGUGUCGUGAGAUGUUGGGUUAAGUCCCGCAACGAGCGCAACCCUUAUGAUUAGUUGCCAGCAUUUAGUUGGGCACUCUAAUCAGACUGCCGGUGACAAACCGGAGGAAGGUGGGG
rnacentral:rRNA from 1 species